AGUGCUUUCUUUCACCUUCCUGCCACUCUUUAGUGUCCGGCAUGGAAUGACGACAGUGGCGCCCCUCAGCGCCAGAACUCUCGCAGUCUCCUUCCCAAUCCCACUGGUUGCCCCUGCUCACAGACCCACAAUAACACCAAUCAACCCUCUCAGACCAUCAAGGAACCUUUUUCAACCAAAAUCUACUGGAAAAUAGAGCUCAAGUUGUGGUUUUUCCAGAGGCAAACGGAUGGCUGUGAGAUGGCAGGCGUGGAUGCCUUGGGUGACCCCCUCCGCGGCGGAGGAGGACCCGAAGCCCGAAGAAGGACCUUCUCCUCCUCCCCAGAAGGAGCUCCACCUCCAAAAUCCCAUCUUUUGAUUUCUCUCUUGAAAUGAAAAAUCCCAUCUUUAUCAGCUUCCAAAGUCAUCAGUCCUGAGCGCUAUUUAAAAUCGGAAAGAGAGUUAUGCUGUUCGGGUUACAAUGCCAAAUUCGUAUAUGCCUAAUAGAAGACUCCCACGUGUCCCCGAUACACGCGGUGGGGUGAGGUACGGCUGUAGUUGAAAAGAUUCGCAGUCCCAAUAGAAUCAGAGGCCGCCGCUUGUCGAAGAAACUAAAUUCGGACGCCAAAUUGCUUCCAUUUUGGCUCUUCUUUUGGGGCUCCGUCUCUACAUCUACUUCGGCUUCCGGCGCGAUUUCUUGCAACUCGAGUUGUAGGGUGUCUAAUUCUCCCCUUUCCUUCUUCCCAUUUCCCUCCUCUCUUCCCCCUUCUCUCCAAAAUUUCUCUCUGCCUCUCCUCGCCAUUGCUAGCUCUCAGGAGGAGAGAAGCCGCUUCUACUGGAAAAAGUCUCGCCUUUGAGGGUGGACUGGACUUGGGAGCCAUAACAGGUUUCAGGUGGAUUACCAAAAAGCUGUGGCGAAGCUUAUUUAAGCAUUUGAUUCCCGUAUUUUUAAUAAUGAAGAUCUUCACCGCGAUCCGAUGAUUCAUGGAUAUUUUCAAGGUCCGUUGAAGCCGCAUAAGUAUCCGGUCUUUACAGCUUUCGAGGUACCAGAUCACAGGAAGGACAAGAGAAGGAAGGGUUCAAUCAAAUGGCUUCUCGGCUUCAACUUCCAAGCGACGACUCUGUAGAUCUCGUCGUCACUCAUUCCAACAUCAAGAGCUUCUCUGCCCAAGUGCGCCUCUCCCUCCAGACGAUGGUGGAGUCGGCCAAGGAGAAGCUUUGGAGAAAGUGUGGGACGUCCGUGGACUUGAUGUGCCUCGAGCUCUACGAUGAUGCCGGGUCCAAAGUGUGUGACCUGAAUGACAAUCUGAGGCCACUUGGAUUCUAUUCCCCUCAAAAUGGGUACCGGCUGCAUAUUAUAGAUCUAGACCCCUCAUCAGUAAGCUCUGGUGGCUGGUUGGAUGACACUUCACUGGUGGAAAAAUAUAAAAUUUCUGAGGAAGCCUAUAAUAAACUUGAUUGCAAUUUUAGGAAAUUUAAAGAGAAAAUGAUAUCUCAAAAUCCACCAAGUGGUGAAAGCAAACUACCGGACGGUUACAUGGAGGACCUAUGUGCAAAUAUCAAGGUUGGAGAUGGAUGUGAAGUUGAACCUGGGGGAAAAAGGGGAGUCGUGAAGUUUGUUGGUCAAGCUGAGGCUUUAGGACCUGGCUUUUGGGUUGGCAUUCAAUAUGAUGAACCUCUUGGGAAACAUGAUGGCAUAAAAAACAUUCAUGAAGUUUGAUCCCACUAUCAAGAUAUUAAGGUGGUAUAAACAUCGGAUCAUUACCAUUGCAACCAAUAAACAAGAGAAAGAGGAGAAGAAAGGAAGGGAGAUGAAGGGCGAAGAAGGUUGCUCCAUCUUCCAUAUUAGAAACACCUUGCUUAGUUAAGGGAAGGGGGUAGAGAUCUCGGCCUCGUCAUCGUAGCAGAACUUGAAGUUGUUGAAGUCUAUGCGGUUUGAACCGAAACCAUCGCCCAUGGUCAAGGAUAGCAGGCUUGGCAAGGAACUGCCGAUGACUAGUCUUCCUCACGAUGAUGAGGGUGAAAGGUAUUCGCUAUUUUCAAUGCCUGCCACAGCAUGGUGCCAUACUUAGGCCAGACAAAGUCAAGGUUGGAGACUAUCCCGAGAGGGACCCAUUUGAUGAAGAAGAGAUAUAGACAACCGCGGAGUUGUACAUACAGCAUCUUCAGAGUCCUGUUAAAACUGUGAUUCUCAUGUUGGCCCCUUAGAAUCUCUUUGAUCAUCGUAACCUAUUUGCCUUGAGUUAUAUCCAAUCAUGCGUGGCAUUGUUGUUAUGAUGACUGAUACAUUCCCCUGUAAUUGCAGAACAUCGCCAGAGACCUAUUUGUUUUGAAACUGCUAUCGGACUGAUACCUUCACUUCUGGAAAGUUUAGUCGUUUUUUUGGAAGUACCGUAUGGAUGAUGGAUGAUGAAAGUAUGUGUAAGGAUGAUAUUAUGUUUCUGGAAAAUAAAUGGAUGUGACCAAUUCUCGUU